rnacentral:rRNA from 1 species
UCCUUCCGUAGGUGAACCUGCGGAAGGAUCAUUACAGAGUUCCUGCCCUCACGGGUAGAAACCCCACCCUUGUGUAUAUUAUAUUGUUGCUUUAGCAGGUCGCCCUCUGGGGCGUCGGCCUCGGCUGACUGUGCCUGCUAGAGGACCCUAAACUUUGAAAUACAGUGUCGUCUGAGUACUAUUUAAUAGUUAAAACUUUCAACAACGGAUCUCUUGGUUCUGGCAUCGAUGAAGAACGCAGCGAAAUGCGAUAAGUAAUGUGAAUUGCAGAAUUCAGUGAAUCAUCGAAUCUUUGAACGCACAUUGCGCCCCUUGGUAUUCCGGGGGGCAUGCCUGUUCGAGCGUCAUUUAGACCAACUCCCGCUCCGGCGGGGUCUUGGGCUGCGCCUUUGGGCGGGCCUUAAAACCAGUGGCGGUGCCCUAAGGCUCUACGCGUAGUAAUUCUUCUCGCGAUAGGGUCCUUGCGGUGUCUUGCCAGCAACCCCCAACUCUCUAGGGUUGACCUCGGAUCAGGUAGGGAUACCCGCUGAACUUAAGCAUAUCAAUAAGCGGGAG